UACUAUAGGUAAUAUGCUAUCAGACAGCACUGCAUGCUACAGAGAAAUCAGUCUUGGAAGGAAGAGUCAAUCGACGUGGCUAACUUUACUGCAAUUUUAAGAAUUGCCACAGCCACCCCAACCUUCAGCAACCACCACCCUGAUCAGUCAGCAGCAUCGACAUCAAGGCAAGACCCUCACCAGCAAAAUCAUUAUGACCCGCUGAAAGCUUAGGUGAUGGUUAGAAUUUUUUAGCAAUAAAGUGUUUUUAAAUUAAGGUAGGUACAUUGCUUUUUUUUUAGACAUAAUGCUAUUGGACACUUAAUGAACUACAGUAUAUUGUAAACAUAACUCUUAUAUGCACUAGGAAACCAAAAAAUCCAUGCCACUCACUUUAUUCUGAUAUUCACUUUAUUGCAGUGGUCUGGAAUCGAAUCUGUAAUAUCUCCAAGGAUGAGAAUAUGGCCUUCCUGGUGUUGAAUUGGUUCAAAAAUCCAGAAAACUGUGAUGUUGAAAGGUGGCUAUAUGUACCACAGGAAGCCUAGAGAGAUUGGAAAAGCUGUUAAGAGGAAAAAGAGGGGAAGAAAAAUAUGCUAAAUAGCACCAUGGGAAUGAAACCAGCAAAACCCAGACUGUGGGAAAAUCCCGAGAACAAAUGAUCCAGCUUCUUCAACAAAUACAAAAGCUACAAGAAAAAAUUUAGAAGAACAUCUACAGAUUAAGAGAUUAUCAACCAACAGCAGUGUAUGGAUGCUGAUUCAGACAAACUGUAAAGGAAAAAAUAAAACAAAAUGAGA